CCAAUAGCGUAUAUUAAAGUUGUUGCAGUUAAAAAGCUCGUAGUUGAACUUCGGGGUUUACUCAUUGGUCAGGCUUAAUUGUCUGUACUGGUGAGCUGAAUCUCUACCUUCUGAGGAACUUUCAUGCCAUUUAUUUGGUGUGAUGGGAAAUCAGUACUGUUACUUUGAAAAAAUUAGAGUGUUUAAAGCAGGCUAACGUCUGAAUACAUUAGCAUGGAAUAAUUAAAUAGGACGGACUGAUUCUAUUUCGUUGGUUUCUAGGAUCACCGUAAUGAUUAAUAGGGAUAGUUGGGGGCAUUAGUAUUCAAUUGUCAGAGGUGAAAUUCUUGGAUUUAUUGAAGACUAACUACUGCGAAAGCAUUUGCCAAGGAUGUUUUCAUUAAUCAAGAACGAAAGUUAGGGGAUCGAAGACGAUCAGAUACCGUCGUAGUCUUAACCAUAAACUAUGCCGACUAGGGAUCGGACGAAGUUAAUUUUAUAAUGACGCGUUCGGCACCUUACG
rnacentral:rRNA from 1 species